CCUACGGGAGGCAGCAGUGAGGAAUAUUGGUCAAUGGACGAAAGUCUGAACCAGCCAAGUCGCGUGAAGGAUGACUGCCCUAUGGGUUGUAAACUUCUUUUAUAAAGGAAUAAAAAGAGGUACGUGUACCUUUUUGCCUGUACUUUAUGAAUAAGCAUCGGCUAACUCCGUGCCAGCAGCCGCGGUAAUACGGAGGAUGCGAGCGUUAUCCGGAUUUAUUGGGUUUAAAGGGAGCGUAGAUGGGUUUUUAAGUCAGUUGUUAAAGUUUGGGGCUCAACCGUUAUAUUGCCAUUGAUACUGUCAGACUCGAGUACAGACGAGGUAGGCGGAAUUAGUGGAGUAGCGGUGAAAUGCUUAGAUAUAACGAAGAACCCCGAUAGCGAAGGCAGCUUACCAGACUGCGACUGACGCUGAAGCUCGAGAGUGUGGGUAGCAAACAGGAUUAGAUACCCGUGUAGUC
rnacentral:rRNA from 1 species